CUAAAGGCGAUGGAGUUCGCCAUAACCGUUAAUGUGAUCACAACAUUAGCUAAUGACUCCUG
rnacentral:ncRNA from 1 species